rnacentral:tRNA from 1 species
CUGGUGGCUCAGUGGUAAAGAAUCUGCCUGUCAAUGCAGAAGACACAGGUUCAAUCCCUGCUCCAG